GGCGGGGCCACCCGCU
rnacentral:rRNA from 1 species